rnacentral:rRNA from 1 species
GUAGGGGGCAGGCGUUAAUCGGAAUUACUGGGCGUAAAGCGUGCGCAGGCGGUUUCUUAAGUCAGAUGUGAAAGCCCCGGGCUUAACCUGGGAACUGCGUUUGAAACUGGGAGACUUGAGUGUGGCAGAGGGGGGUGGAAUUCCACGUGUAGCAGUGAAAUGCGUAGAUAUGUGGAGGAACACCGAUGGCGAAGGCAGCCCCCUGGGUUAACACUGACGCUCAUGCACGAAAGCGUGGGGAGCAAACAGG